rnacentral:lncRNA from 1 species
AUAGUGGCGUAACAAUAGUGCCGUGAAUCACUGCACAAACUAACACUCCUGAGGCAUUUACUGGUGCCAAUGUCUUUCAUAUCAUUUAACAGGUUAAUAGCAAAGACCAAGAAGAGUGAGAAAUGGACCUCAAAUGGCGACAAUGAGAACCUCGGACAGAAAAACGGAAUGCUCCGCUGGAGCCUCAACGAAGCACGACCAAACCUCUUCGAACUCGGCUACGACGGACACCUCGGCUCAACUUCUUGGACUUUGGACUGAAACGCUCGACUUCAACACAAAGUCGAGCCGCUCACCUCCAUGAAUUCCUGUUCAGCUGGUGGGCGUGAGGAUGGGGAAAUAACCGCAAUGCUGCUUGGCGUGAAGCUGACGGGUCGUUUGGUGGUGGACGACCGGAGCUUGGCGUCGCUUGUGGUCGAUGAAGGAAGUUUGGACAGGAGGAUGGUCGAUGAUGCAGCAGUGGUUGCUGCUGCUCAAAAAAUGAGGGGUCGUGGGUUAUGGAGGUGUUCGCGGGUGAUGGACGACGGUGGGAGUUGGGGCUGGUUAUGGCG